AUUGAACGCUGGCGGCAUGCCUUACACAUGCAAGUCGAACGGUAACAGGUCUUCGGAUGCUGACGAGUGGCGAACGGGUGAGUAAUACAUCGGAACGUGCCUAGUAGUGGGGGAUAACUACUCGAAAGAGUGGCUAAUACCGCAUGAGAUCUACGGAUGAAAGCAGGGGAUCGCAAGACCUUGUGCUACUAGAGCGGCCGAUGGCAGAUUAGGUAGUUGGUGGGAUAAAAGCUUACCAAGCCGACGAUCUGUAGCUGGUCUGAGAGGACGAUCAGCCACACUGGGACUGAGACACGGCCCAGACUCCUACGGGAGGCAGCAGUGGGGAAUUUUGGACAAUGGGCGCAGGCCUGAUCCAGCAAUGCCGCGUGCAGGAUGAAGGCCUUCGGGUUGUAAACUGCUUUUGUACGGAACGAAAAGCCCCGGGUUAAUACCCUGGGGUCAUGACGGUACCGUAAGAAUAAGCACCGGCUAACUACGUGCCAGCCGCCGCGGUAA
rnacentral:rRNA from 1 species